AUUGAACGCUGGCGGCAGGCCUAACACAUGCAAGUCGAGCGGAUGAGGGGAGCUUGCUCCCUGAUUUAGCGGCGGACGGGUGAGUAAUGCGUAGGAAGCUGCCCGAUAGAGGGGGAUACCAGUUGGAAACGACUGUUAAUACCGCAUAAUGUCUACGGACCAAAGUGUGGGACCUUCGGGCCACAUGCUAUCGGAUGCGCCUACGUGGGAUUAGCUAGUUGGUGAGGUAAUGGCUCACCAAGGCGACGAUCUCUAGCUGGGUUGAGAGGAUGAUCAGCCACACUGGAACUGAGACACGGUCCAGACUCCUACGGGAGGCAGCAUUGGGGAAUAUUGGACAAUGGGCGCAAGCCUGAUCCAGCCAUGCCGCGUGUGUGAAGAAGGCCUUCGGGUUGUAAAGCACUUUCAGCGAGGAGGAAGGGUGGUGUGUUAAUAGCACAUCAUUUUGACGUUACUCGCAGAAGAAGCACCGGCUAACUCUGUGCCAGCAGCCGCGGUAAUAC
rnacentral:rRNA from 1 species